rnacentral:rRNA from 1 species
UACGGAGGGUGCAAGCGUUAAUCGGAAUCACUGGGCGUAAAGCGCACGUAGGCUGUCAUGUAAGUCAGGGGUGAAAUCCCACGGCUCAACCGUGGAACUGCCCUUGAUACUGCACGACUUGAAUCCGGGAGAGGGUGGCGGAAUUCCAGGUGUAGGAGUGAAAUCCGUAGAUAUCUGGAGGAACAUCAGUGGCGAAGGCGGCCACCUGGACCGGUAUUGACGCUGAGGUGCGAAAGCGUGGGGAGCAAACAGG